rnacentral:lncRNA from 1 species
AAAGCCGUACCAAUCCGGAGAUAAAAUACAUAAAUCCCAAAAACAAACUUACAAACCAAGUAAUCGAAUUAGGGUUUACACAUUUUCCAGCUUCAAGUGGCAAUCAAAAAAAAGAAAUUACAUUAUCCCAAAUAACACAUUACAGCCCAUAGCAUAAGUCAUAGUGUUCGAAUACAAUCCAAAAGGUAAACAUAAGUAAGCAUCCAGCUUUCAGUUUCCAGAACCUGUUAAGGAAAACAAUAAACGUGGGGUG